rnacentral:rRNA from 1 species
AUUGAACGCUGGCGGCAGGCUUAACACAUGCAAGUCGAGCGCGCGGCGGACGGGUGAGUAAUGUCUGGGAAACUGCCUGAUGGAGGGGGAUAACUACUGGAAAAGGUAGCUAAUACCGCAUACCAUCGGAUGUGCCCAGAUGGGAUUAGCUAGUAGGUGGGGUAAUGGCUCACCAAGGCGACGAUCCCUAGCUGGUCUGAGAGGAUGACCAGCCACACUGGAACUGAGACACGGUCCAGACUCCUACGGGAGGCAGCAGUGGGGAAUAUUGCACAAUGGGCGAAAGCCUGAUGCAGCCAUGCCGCGUGUGUGAAGAAGGUCUUCGGGUUGUAAAGCACUUUCAGCGAGGAGGCGUUACUCGCAGAAGAAGCACCGGCUAACUCCGUGCCAGCAGCCGCGGUAAUUC